UCUGAUUUGUUUCAGAUGUGAGCGUGUGAUCUCAAAGCUCCGGUUUCAAAGCCGAGUGCAUCAGCCCUUGGCCUUUUGGACCUCGGGCUCCAUACCAAGUGGCCUUUCCCAUGGACAGGUCCCCAUCUCACAUCCCUGCACCAGUGCCAGCUUCCCAGGGGCUUUUAUCUUCCUGACAGAAGGGCACCACAAUCCACGAUUCCAGAGAGAGGGGUGUGAGAGAGAGAACAAACUUCUGGUAUGGAUGGAUUCAUACUGAGUCUAUCCAUCCACAGUGUAGAAUCUGCAGCUGCUACCUCAGUCUCCGAGAGCUCCUCUGUCCUCUGCCUGCAGGGCAAGCUGGUAUUGAAUGGAGAGACGUCACUGAUUCAGGCUCAGUUU
rnacentral:lncRNA from 1 species